ensembl:snoRNA small nucleolar RNA SNORA81
ACAAGUUUGUUUAAGCUCUGUGCUAAAAUUGCAGGAACUGCUGUCAUGUCUUAGUGUUUGUCAUAAAGCUGGUGGAGUAAACACAAGAAGAAACGCAACUGCCCCCGACAGUAAAAAGACUGGGAUGAACAUCUUUCUUAAGUCCAGAGUAGUCUGUUCUGAGAUUCGGUACAGCAAUA